UUAAUGUCCUGUUUUCUGUGAAAUGUUCCCUUACCUCAGAGUCUAUCUGGUCAGACACACGCCCUUUACCCCUCGGGUGCCCUCAGCCUUCCCCCUUUAGAGCACCAUGAUUCCUUUAGCUCUGUUCUUGUCUGUUUCUCUCAUUAGAUUGGAACCUCCUGGAGCACAGAACAGGGUCUGGUUGUAAAGGGGGAAAAAGAGAGCAGACAAAAUGACAGAUGAAUGAGCCGGUAAGGGGCUACAACCACGACGCCGUGGGAGGAGACCCAGGGAUGCGGUCAUUAAUGGCAUCAUGGAGAAGUGACGUUUACUCUGGGCUUUGAAGAUGACCAAAAAGCUUCUACAACAAGGGGAAAGCAUGAAAUACUUGAGGCUGAGAGUUACGACUUAUCCUGAAGGCCACAAGGAGCUGUGAUUGUGACUGUUUCUAUACAAGUGUAAUGUGAAAUGAUGUAUGGAUCAGGAAGAACCACGUGGCAGCAGACAGCUUGUGCAGAAACCGAAAUUACGUGAUCUGGCUCUUCUUAGUUGCUACUGGAAGACACUGAGUUAGCAGAUACAGGCUGCGCCUCUUCUCUGAGACCCACGCAAGUGACUGUUACGGAGCCUGCCAACAGGAAACGAGAGGGAGAACUGGUAACGAGAUCCCUGCACGCGCUGUGAAUGAUACUCCAUUGACGGAAGUUGGUACUUCCCCAAGAGUUCACAUGCUUUACCCCUUUCGUCUCCUAGACUCCCCAAGUUUUUUGUUUUGUUUUUGGAGAACAGCCUGCUGCUGCCAGGACAGGUGCCUCUGGCCCCUGGCUGGCCCUCCUUCCCAGAAAGCCUGCUGGGAGGCUGAGAGCCCAGCUGCCCUCCCCUCCUGCCCUUCCUUGCCACCUGGCUCCCAUUCUGCGGGGCCCAGCGCUGCACAGCUGUCUGGGGCGCUGAUAGAAAAAAGGCAAGAAGCACCCCUGGAAAUGUACUGAAGUGGGGAAAUGUAUACUGACGGUAAUUCCUCUCUGGGUGAGAGGUGCUUUGAUUGAGUUGUUGGGAUAAUUUGGUGCAGUGCUCUGUGUGGAGGGGUGUAAGGAACCAAAGGGCCUUCAGCAAGUCCUUGAAGUCACUAAAUUGUCUCCUAAAGAGCAUGGCUUUGGUUAAUUGCAGGCUUCUGUUCUGCUGAGUUGGGUGUGUACAGUUGAGGCCAGAGGUAUUGCUUGGGCCUAGAGAGGUGGGGAGCUGCCCAUGAUUCUAGGCCCCUCUGAAUUCAUCCAGCAGGGGUUCCUUUGUUAGUAUUUUAAUAAAUACCCAUUGGCUGAGAAAGCAAAUGAUUAGUCUCUGGGGCACCCACAUGUCAGUCCAGCGUGCUCUGAUGAAAAGCAUUUUCCUUAUAGCUGUUUUUACUGUCUGACCUGGUUUGGGUAGGACUGUAAUGUGUCUGCUGGUGGUCAUUUCUAAGAAACGACAGAGCCUUACGUAUACAUGAUGAUUUUCCAUGUCUUAAGGGAUAAAUUAAGAGGGGAGUAGAAAGCAAAGCAGGGGCCACAUCUUUAGGCUAUUGAUUUCUAGGAUUUGGUAAACAGCCCUGUUGCGUUAAUGAGAAAUGCAAACAAAGGCACCCUCAAAUGAGGCUGUGAGGCCAAAGUAAUGAUGGAUGAGGUCGGGAGAAAGCCAAAGAAAUAUUUGUUCAAACUAUAAUCCAUCCAGUCAAUAAGAAAAGAAGAAAAAAAAAGAACCUUUCUUGACUCUGCCCUCUCUAGCCACUCCCACCCCAAGAACCAUACUCAGGUCCUUCUCCACAACCCAAGAGCAACACCACCUUUAAGCUCUUUCUAGCAGUCCGGCCCCACUCUCCCAAGCGCUUCAAUGUUAUUCUGCACACAGUGGAUGCUGACUAAACAAAGGUAAGGGACUGAAAAGAGACUUCUUACCAGGGCCUGGCAGUGAGGGUGCCUUCACUGUCAGUCCUGGUCAGCCUGGACCACCCAGGACUCUGGAAGCUGAGUAGGACUCAGACAGUCCGGUGGCCACUGGCCAUUGGCAGAGGCUAAGCCUGCAGUGCUUGAAUCUGCAGACGGUCCAGGCCAAAACUGGCUGUCCAGGCAGUGGGCCCUGGCUCUUUGAGUCGUGCCUGGAGAGUGUGUGAGACGCAGCAGCUCUGUACUUCAGGCCUCUCGGUUCCCAAAGCGGGUGCAGGUUAUGGGGCUCCUGAUGUGCAGGGAGCUCUUCUGGACUUUGUUCAGAGAGCUGAAGGAUGCAGAGUGACACUCCUGAAGGUGCCCGGGCCCCAGCCCUCUAGGCUAACGGUGCCUUGUCAUCUCUACAUCCGCUGUGUGUGUGGUCGGCUCUGCAGAGAUGCCCAUGCCCGUAAUCUUGUGAAAAUUAAUUAAGAGAAACCUCACUUACAGGGGAUCGGGAAGCCUGCAGGGGAAGCUCUCAUGCCCUCCACUCCUUGUAAAUCUCAGAUCCCACCAGCAGAGACGAAUUCCAUGCUGUUUGAGUUACUUUAUCACCCAGCAGGACGAAGGCUUCCACCUUCCACCUGCUCCCUACAGUCCAGCCAAAGAGAAACUGUUACAACUCAGCCAAUGAGAAGCCACAAUACAUGGGCUUCUCUGGUUUCCUCCAGUGGAUUUCUUGCUUAGAACAGGCCUCCCAACUCAGCCUGUUCCUCUGUAAAUGUGUUCCUCUCCUUUGUUUUCUGGACAUGCCUAUGGUUCUUCUGUGGCUUGCAUGCCUGGAUUACAAUUCUCUGCCAUUCCCAAAUAAUCCUGUUUUUUUUGGCUGGUAAGAUGACUGUUUUAAUUUUAAAGUUAACAGUGACCAUGUGGAAAGUCAGAAUAGUGCCAAGAGAGAUGCAUACCUCCUCAAAAUAGAAUCAAGAGAUUAGUGUACUGAUCAUGGAGUUGCUGCAAUUGCUCAUAAUAGUAGUCGUAUUAGCAAAUACUUACAUGGGGCUUACCAUGUGCCAGGCACUGUUCUAGGCACUUUAGAGACAUUCAUGAGAAUUAUCAUAAUUAGAUUUUAUUAUCAUCCCCAUUUUCUAUAUGUGAAAACUGACACGCUGAGAGGUUAAGUAAUUUGGCUAAGAUCUCACAUUAGAAUAGACAAAUCUGAAUAAAACCAGCGUUAGAGUUCUUCAUCCCCUAGAUUGCAUUUUAUUGUGAAUUUUCUCAUUGAUAUAGCUUUUUUUGUGUCUGUUUACUCAUAUUAUAGUGGAGAAAAAUACGUGGUGGUAUUUGACAGUCACAAGCAAAUUUAUCUUAGUGACCGGUAAAGGUUUGACCCCAGGUGCAGGCAUCUGUAUCUCUGCCCGUAACAUGGUAAUACUUCUUAGACAUUUUCCCUGAACGACUGACUGAUGUGAAGUGUGCACCCCUGUCUCGGUAUUGUGUAUAUUGUUGUAAAUUGAGUGAACCUCAUUUUUAUAGUCUGGUCUGUUUGGCCCUGGGUGUGCGGCUGUGGCCUCUGACACUGGGUCUGUGUAACUUCAUCUAAAUGCAAAUUCCAAAGUUUGGAUUUUGAGAAAAGAAAGGAGUCUUAAAACACACUGAUAUCAAAAUCCCAAGAUCAACCUCUGUGGGCUGGAAAGCUGAUGAGGCAGGCCAGGGAGAGGAGGCAAGGGGCAAUUAAGUGGACAAAAGGAACAAAGGGUCACCAAACCAAGGAGAAGCAGUUCCUUGUCAGGUAAUCUAAAUCUCCUUUCUACAAGGGAGAGAAAAAUAAAUUCAGGAAACUAUUUCUUGGGUGGGAAGAUUGUUAAGAAAGUUUGCCCAAUCCAGGCAGUCCCUGAGUUAGUGUGAUUUACUGUUUGUGAGAUCCAGCCGUGCAGACCUAAUGACAUGACUUAGCAUUAAUAUACACUCAGUGUCUGUGUAUGUGUGUGUGACUUAAAAUGCUAAUAAAGUUGGGAAUUAGGCCAAAGGCACAGAUUGGGCACACUCACAUUCUCCCCACCCCACAGCCCUCUAUUCCCUCAUGUCCUUAGAAUUAAUGGACAAAAUGUUUAAAUAUCGGCAAGGGAAGUGCAGGCAUUAGUGAGCCAGAAAUGAUGAGGAAUCUAGAAGUUAGACUUUGGAUGAAAUUGGUUUGAAGGAGGAAUCCACAGCCCAGGACAGGUGCAGGAGGGGGCGACGG